GGGAUUGGUUGCACGUUGGAAAUACAAACGCGCACUUUAGGCCUAGACAAUAUUGUUGCAUUUAUACAAUAAAUGAAUCCCCUGGAUACUUGGACAACAAUACUAUUCUUUUCUUCUUGUUUCCAAGCCACACAAGACGAGGAAACAACGGGAUUAUAAACAAAACAGCGACAGAAUGUGGAAUGCGUUUGAGAGAAAUGUUUUGUGCUUGUGUAUUGGAGCGCUUUAAAACACCCUGGAGCAGCCUCACCGUGGAGAAUAAAACACUUGCAGAUUGCAUGCCCGCGUCACAAACAGAACACACACCCGAUGUUCUUGAAUGUUCAGAUGUUAAUUUUUGGCGCCAGUUAUUGAAAGAAUGUUCUUUGAAAUAUGACGCCAUUUUGAGCAUAACCUAGUGUAGAAAAAAAACAACACAACAAAAGAAAUGACAGCGCCACGGCCAUUUUGUUUCCAGUGGAGCUAUUUUGGGUUCAAGUUCAGUAUAACUUCUUUAGCACUUGGAGGUUUCUAAGGGCUCAAAAAUGUUACAAGACAACACGCAUUUAUUUAGUGAGUGUAAUUGCUACUUUGAACUGUUUUGUUGUAUUAGUUACCUUUAUUAUAAUGCCUGGGUGACCCUAGCAAAUACAACUAUCUGUUACUAUCUGUUCCUAUCCAAGGCAUAGAUAAUCAGAAUAAAUAUCGUUUGUGGCAAGAAUUUAAAUGUAA